AAUAGAUACCCGGGUAGUCCAUGCCGUAAACGAUGUCUACUAGCCGUUGGGGCCUUUGAGGCUUUAGUGGCGCAGCUAACGCGAUAAGUAGACCGCCUGGGGAGUACGGUCGCAAGACUAAAACUCGAAUGAAUUGACGGGGGCCCGCACAAGCGGUGGAGCAUGUGGUUUAAUUCGAUGCAACGCGAAGAACCUUACCUGGUCUUGACAUACAGAGAACUUUCCAGAGAUGGAUUGGUGCCUUCGGGAACUCUGAUACAGGUGCUGCAUGGCUGUCGUCAGCUCGUGUCGUGAGAUGUUGGGUUAAGUCCCGCAACGAGCGCAACCCUUUUCCUUACUUGCCAUCGGGGUCAUGCCGGGAACUUUAAGGAUACUGCCAGUGACAAACUGGAGGAAGGCGGGGGCGACGUCAAGUCAUCAUGGCCCUUACGACCAGGGCUACACACGUGCUACAAUGGUCGGUACAAAGGGUUGCUACCUAGCGAUAGGAUGCUAAUCUCAAAAAGCCGAUCGUAGUCCGGAUUGGAGUCUGCAACG
rnacentral:rRNA from 1 species